GACGAACCGUGCGAACGUUGUUCGGAUUCACUGGGCUUAAAGGGCGCGUAGGCGGCUCGCCAAGUCAGGGGUGAAAUCGUUCGGCCCAACCGGACAAGUGCCCCUGAUACUGGCGGGCUCGAGGGAGGUAGGGGCAUGCGGAACUUCCGGUGGAGCGGUGAAAUGCGUAGAUAUCGGAAGGAACGCCGGUGGCGAAAGCGGCGUGCUGGACCUCACCUGACGCUGAUGCGCGAAAGCUAGGGGAGCAAACGGG
rnacentral:rRNA from 1 species